GGCACUGGCGGCUAAUUCCUGCUCAAACACCUGAGAGCGAUGGGCGGACGGAUAAUGGACGGACAGGCAGAUAAACGUUGACACGACCUCGAAGCGAGAGGGAGAGUAGAGAGUUAGAGGUUCCAUAUUAGUAAGGAAAGCUCACGUUUUGGUCUCCACCAGCUCCUAACUGACAGCGAGGAUGGAGCAAGAAACAUAUCUCCAGACAGAGGCGAGGAUCAGGACCCUGCUGCUUCCUGUCGCCGAUGACAAGUCCCCGCGCUGCACGAAAGGAAGAAUGGCAGAUCAGAUUCGGUUGCCAGACCUGGUACUCGCCUACACCGCUCUGCCAAUGUGCCCCGGCCAUUCAUACAUCCAGAACAAACCGAGCCCGUCCACUGGGCUCCGCUACUGACAAACGGCUUGAUACUCCCUCACUGCGAGGGGCGGGCGGCCAUCGCUCAACUGCAUCCCGUCUGUUCUCCGUCCUGGCACCACAAUGGUCAGCAGAAGCAGCAGAAACCCUACAAACUUUCUAACGAAUUCUGGGAGCUCAUUUUAAAUUCGCCCUGCCAGACGCACGGUCUGGAUCUCCUCCAGUGGGAAGUGGAACCAGAUUAUCUGACAAUGGGCGGGGAGAAGCGACUUUUGUAAACAACCAAGAUGGCCGCCGCUGAUGAACGAGCAUUUGAGCAAAAGUACCAGACAUUUUCACAUUUCUCCCACACUGGUUCAUGGUGGAAUUAUCAUCACAUCUGGUGGACACGUUCACGUCGCUCAACAGACGUCACAUGAUCGGUUGCUCUCAUGGUUGAAGGUCUAUACAAUUGCGUGCGGAGGCAUUUUGCUCUGCGUCCGUUGGUAACGCCUCUUGGAAAUGGAGAGGUCCCAGACCAAUACACAUUUGAGUAUUAGUCUGGCUACACCAGGCUAUCACCUUAGUCCUUGAAUCAUUAAAGCAGGAACAUGAAUAAUUCUACAAUGGGGCACUUUGAGCCGUUUUGCUUAUUUGAUAAAUGUUCAUGUACUCGCAUGACUCUUGCACUUUUUGUGUAAUAUCUUCAUGGUGGAAUUCACUGAUUGUAAGUCGCUUUACUAAAUGAAUGUAAUGUACUAGAAGAGCACAAAACAAAUACAGUUCAAUACAAUUGAUAUUGGAGGGUCUCUGAUAGUGACUAGUACAUUUUAGUAACAGACAAACUCCACAGCUCUUUUGUUAUUCGUCCAUCUCCGUUAAAGAAACCUUCAGGACGUAGAUGUCCGGAGGCUCAUCCGCCACGUUCAUCGACCGUUGGAGGAUCUCAGCGUGCCGACCCAUUCGGAGGAGCAAAUAAAAUCCAUCACGAGGGGAAAUCUGCCGUUAAACACCGACUGUACGCGCGUCUGUGCUGCCGCCGCUCGCUCAUGAUGUGUUUCAUCAGUAAGUGUGAGUGAAGCGGACUCUUCGUAACGUUUGGGAGCCACAGGAAAUGAUGCGAGGCCUGACGCAAAUGGACGGGAAUCAAGCUGAGGCUUUAGAACACUGCUCCCCAACUUAUUUUUCUAAACAUUGCGCGCACACAAAAGAAAGGCAGGUAUUUUGUAAAAAGAUGACGUGAAAGGAUCCGUCCCCCGCCCACGCCUCGCUCCUACACUCCACCACAGUGCGAGUCGUCGCCCA